GUUAGCAUCUCUUUUUAAUUAGCCUAAUUAGCCUAAUUUGACCUGUCAAACAUGGAAACAACGUCGACAUUAAAGGGAUGGUGCUGGAUUCCCCUUCACUUUAAACAAACCGAGAAGAAUGCAUAUAACAGCAGACAACAUGAGGCUGUCGAACCGGUAAUCCCCCCCACUGCUCCAUCAGAAAGAUUGUUCCUGUGGAUGUCAACGUCUGGACAUUGUUUUGACCUCAUCUCUUCAGUUAUUAACUCAUCCGUCGGAUCUGAGAGCGAGGUCAAAGGUCAGAGCCUGAGGAGUUGAUGAGGACUCGAUGCCUUGCUCUUGGGUACCUCAGUAUGACAGAGGGUUGAACUCCUUGACAAAAUUCUUCUCUCUCCCGUCACAUGGAGAUGAAAUGAGACCCAGAUGGUGAGCAGGCCUGGCCUGGCCCAACCUGGCAACCCAGGGGAGGCGGCGGUGGCACAUUCACCGUCAGCAGAAACAGUGUCAAUGGUCCCAGGCAGCCACAUGGACAACAAUGACCGGUCAGAGCACAGAGACGCUGUCAGCCUGCACUCCUAAGCAUCUUGUCAUUAAAAUCACCGUGGCUCAAAUGUAAACUAAACAGGGAAUAUGAUGUUAGAUGUGGAGUGGUUCUGUAAAACAGACCUUGGUAAAUGUGGUGUCCUUGUACUGUAAGAGUCUGGUUUCCUCCUGUCUCGACCAGUGUUUCCCCUCUCUAGUGGGUUGUCGUUCAAAGACUAAAAUGCUGUUUUCUCAAAGCACUCUUGACCGAUUUGAUGUGUCUAGACCAGUGAUUCCCAACCAGGGGGAAGAUUGUUGAGUAGCUCAACUGGUUUAAAAAAAUUUGAUUUAAAAUAUAUAUCUACAUAUUGUAACACCUGAAGACCAUGAUUGAGAGUCUGUGAAAACUAUAGUUAGCAAGUGAGCAGAUUAGUCUAAACCGUUAGCUAAAAGUAACAGAUAAAUGGUUGAAAUAGUUAGCUAAAAGUAGCCUAAUUGAUAAAUGGUUGAAUAUGGGUAAAAUGUCCAGCUUUUACCAAUCCAAGAGGUAGUGGCACAACUGCGAACUUGAUGAAACCACCCUUAACAUUGACAGUUCAAUUGUUUGGAAGUGUAACAAUAUCCACUUCCACUUGUUAAACAUCCAAUUUAAAAUAAUUUUACAAUUUGAAUGAACAUAUUUGGAACAUGACAAUAGGGGUACUUGAGUUCAUCAGACAGGGCUGUGGGGCUUGGGAACUACUGGGUUAGGUUCAUUACACAACAUAAAGGUAAAUGAAUUUAACAUACAAACGCUCCUUGCAUUUGUGCUCUCCAAUCUAUUUCACCAGAUUUAUAAUCAAACCUGCUGGUUCUUUAAAAAAAAAAAUUGUGAGCAUGCAUUUAUAUUCUCUAUUUUUAGAGCUGUUGGAGAGCGUAUUACCAGUACGUGCUGCACAGACUGGGCGCAGAGCCAGUCGGCAAGUAAGCAAUUGAUACAAUCAUAUCCUAAUUCAGCUACCUCGUGGGUGGCAAACAUGUCAGCGCUUCCUCACAAAGAUUUCUGUGUAGGUUUAAUAAAAUAAAUACUUUAAACAGAGCUCAAAACAAAAUGCUCUCCACAGAUAGUAACUGACUUUGUGAUCAAAGAUUCACAGAUCUCUAUCCACACAAGAUGAAAUUACAAGUCUCUCUCUUUCAUAUCAAAUACAUCUAAAGCCUGAUAAGCGCCUGCCAACCGUAAGAACAGACAUGCAGACACACAAGGUGAAAGUUUACUCAGAAAGCACAUCAAAAGUGUAAGGAAACAAGACGGAUUAAACCUCCAGCUGAUUCUCAACCAUCGUAAAACAGAACAUCGCAUGGCACGGUGACAGCAAAAACAAAGUUGAAAUUGAACAAAUGUGCAAAAUUACACGUAUGAGUGACCAAGGCUACCAUUUUCAACUUGCCUCAAAACCCACUUGGCAAGUACGAGUUUCCCACAGUUCCCUUCACAGCCCAUCAGUCAGGCCGGAGAAGAGCGGGGGCCUGACUGUCAGGGGUCAGUGCUACGCUGAACACGGAGAGAAUAUGAAGCAGCUGCCCGGGACAGGAGAGCCUGACGCGUCACCAUAUGUCUGUGUGUUUCUCAGCCUUUUUCAUUCCUUUACAUAAAUGCUUGUGGUUCGUGGUCAAACAUUAUCGCGCAUUAAUUUAUUAAACAAGUGUAAAGAGUUUUGUU